rnacentral:rRNA from 1 species
AAACGUAGGGGGCAAGCGUUGUUCGGAAUUACUGGGCGUAAAGCGCGUGUAGGCGGUCUGGCAAGUCGGAAGUGAAAGCCCUCGGCCCAACCGGGGAACUGCUUUCGAAACUGCCAGGCUUGAAUGCGGGAGGGGAGAGCGGAAUUCCCGGUGUAGCGGUGAAAUGCGUAGAUAUCGGGAAGAACACCGGUGGCGAAGGCGGCUCUCUGGACCGUGAUUGACGCUGAGACGCGAAAGCGUGGGGAGC